UAUGACCAUAUCAUGUUGAAAUGCUGGUUCUCAUACGAUCACCUAAGUUAAGCAAGAUCAACCCUGGUUAGUACCUAGAUGAGUGACCACUUGAGAAUAUCAGAUGCUGUAAG